rnacentral:rRNA from 1 species
GACGUAGGGGGCAAGCGUUGUUCGGAAUUAUUGGGCGUAAAGCGCUCGUAGGCGGGACAGGAAGUUCGUGUUGAAAGACCUCGGCUCAACUGAGGGACCGGCUCGAAUACUCUUGUUCUUGAGGCAAUCAGAGGGUGAUGGAAUUCCCGGUGUAGCGGUGAAAUGCGCAGAUAUCAGGAGGAACACCGGUGGCGAAGGCGGUUCUCUGGGCCUGUACUGACGCUGAGGAGCGAAAGCGUGGGGAGCGAACAGG